AAACUGAAGAGUUUGAUCCUGGCUCAGAUUGAACGCUGGCGGAAUGCUUUACACAUGCAAGUCGAGCGGCAGCGCGGGGCAACCUGGCGGCGAGCGGCGAACGGGUGAGUAAUGUAUCGGAACGUACC
rnacentral:rRNA from 1 species